AUACGGAGGGUGCGAGCGUUAAUCGGAAUUACUGGGCGUAAAGCGCGCGUAGGCGGUUUGGUCAGUCAGAUGUGAAAGCCCUGGGCUCAACCUGGGAACUGCAUUUGAUACUGCCAGGCUAGAGUAUGGUAGAGGGAAGUGGAAUUCCGGGUGUAGCGGUGAAAUGCGUAGAUAUCCGGAGGAACACCAGUGGCGAAGGCGACUUCCUGGACCAAUACUGACGCUGAGGUGCGAAAGCGUGGGUAGCAAACAGGAUUAGAAACCCUAGUAGUCC
rnacentral:rRNA from 1 species